rnacentral:rRNA from 1 species
UAGGGAAUCUUCGGCAAUGGACGAAAGUCUGACCGAGCAACGCCGCGUGAGUGAAGAAGGUUUUCGGAUCGUAAAACUCUGUUGUUAGAGAAGAACAAGGACGUUAGUAACUGAACGUCCCCUGACGGUAUCUAACCAGAAAGCCACGGCUAACUACGUGCCAGCAGCCGCGGUAAUACGUAGGUGGCAAGCGUUGUCCGGAUUUAUUGGGCGUAAAGCGAGCGCAGGCGGUUUCUUAAGUCUGAUGUGAAAGCCCCCGGCUCAACCGGGGAGGGUCAUUGGAAACUGGGAGACUUGAGUGCAGAAGAGGAGGGUGGAAUUCCAUGUGUAGCGGUGAAAUGCGUAGAGAUAUGGAGGAACACCAGUGGCGAAGGCGGCUCUCUGGUCUGUAACUGACGCUGAGGCUCGAAAGCGUGGGGAGCAAACAGG